UGUAAAAUUCCUGGUCCGUGAGACAGAGGCACCGCGCUGUACCAGGCGAAGGGCCUCGCCGGCAUUCCCGAGUGUGGAGAUAGCCCCUGCCUCGCACGGCCCAAUGGAAGCCUUGGACCCUUCCCGAUCUCCUCCCCAGCUUGGCGGGGCCCUGCUGCCUGCCCCGGAGACAGGUUCCAGGUGGUUUCUCCCAGGGUUGGGCAGGCUUGUGAAGUUGCGCCACACUGUUGGGAUGGUCUAGCUAGGCUGGUGGGGUCAUUGUAGGUAGGUGUGCAUGGAUCUAAGGUGGUCCAGUAAGGUCCAGUGUAUUUAUUGCCAGGGUAGGAGUGGGCUGCCAGUUCAUGCGCCACUGCCUUGUGGCUCUUUGCCAGGCCUUACCCCAGCUACCUAAACUGGGGCAAGAGGCCACUGGACCAGGUUGGUGGAGGGGAAGGAGUUGCCUGAGCAGCUCCCGCCUCAUUCUCACCACAGGAGUCUAGAAGUCUCUCCCUCCUUCUCCCACUCCCUUCUGCAUCACCCUGACUUUCUCCCUUUAUUCAUCUCCCUCCCAGCUCCAUAGCACUUUUGUACAUAUCUUCACUUUAUUUAUAUUAAUGUCUGUCUUCCCCUCUAGACUGUAAGUUCCUUGUGGUCGGGAAUGUGUCUGUUUAUUGUAUCGUACUCUCCCAAGUGCUUAGUAUAGCACUCUGCACACAGUAAGCGCUCAAUAAAUACGAUGGACCAACUGACUGACCUUGCUCCUGUUCUGGGGAUGGGGCUGGAGGAGCUGGGUGGCAGUCGUACCAUUGGGUCCCCGAGCCCCUGAUGUGCUCUUGCCAGAGCCGCUGCUGCAACUGGAGACCAGGGAUUGCAGCAUCCCUGAGCUGCCCUGGGAGCCCAGGGUGUUUACUUCUUAGUGUUUCUCGGCCCUAGGGACAGGAGGGAGGGCUGGCUUUCCAGUUCAAAAUCCACCUGCUCCUCUCUUCCUCCUCCCUUCCCCCUCUUCUCCAUCUCUCUGUCCCCUCCCCCCGCUACCCGAGCUAGGUUGCAGCUGCAGGGACGAAAGGAGGAUAAAGAGCCAGGUAGAGACGGGUGGGCUCAGGUAUCUUUGUAAUGAACAAAAGACUCGCUGCUAAGGAGCCCCUCCCUUCCCUCUCUGAGCCUCGGCAGGGUGGGGGUGGGCCCAGCUGGGCUUAGAGCAGUCCCAGUCUGGCCCAGAGGGGUAUCUGCUGCAGCUGGGAGAGGCCUAAGGGGUUGAGGUGUUGGACAGGUGGUGGUGAAGAGAUAUGCUAGUCAGAUGCCACUCCCCAGGGUGAUUGGGUAGGGGCAGGGACUGGGGGUGUGAUAGCCACCCUGAUACUGGUA
rnacentral:lncRNA from 1 species